UAGGGAAUCUUCGGCAAUGGGGCAACCCUGACCGAGCAACGCCGCGUGAGUGAAGAAGGUUUUCGGAUCGUAAAGCUCUGUUGUUGGUGAAGAAGGAUAGAGGCAGUAACUGGUCUUUAUUUGACGGUAAUCAACCAGAAAGUCACGGCUAACUACGUGCCAG
rnacentral:rRNA from 1 species